GUGGGGUGAUGGCCUACCAAGGCGACGACGGGUAGCCGGCCUGAGAGGGCGACCGGCCACACUGGGACUGAGACACGGCCCAGACUCCUACGGGAGGCAGCAGUGGGGAAUAUUGCACAAUGGGCGCAAGCCUGAUGCAGCGACGCCGCGUGAGGGAUGACGGCCUUCGGGUUGUAAACCUCUUUCAGCUCCGACGAAGCGAAAGUGACGGUAGGGGCAGAAGAAGCGCCGGCCAACUACGUGCCAGCAGCCGCGGUAAGACGUAGGGCGCAAGCGUUGUCCGGAUUUAUUGGGCGUAAAGAGCUCGUAGGCGGCUGGUCGCGUCGACUGUGAAAACCCGCGGCCCAACCGUGUGGUCUGCAGUCGAUACGGGCUGGCUGGAGUUCGGUAGGGGAGACUGGAAUUCCUGGUGUAGCGGUGAAAUGCGCAGAUAUCAGGAGGAACACCGGUGGCGAAGGCGGGUCUCUGGGCCGAUACUGACGCUGAGGAGCGAAAGCGUGGGGAGCGAACAGGAUUAGAUACCCUGGUAGUCCACGCUGUAAACGUUGGGCGCUAGGUGUGGGGGGCCUCUCCGGCCUUCUGUGCCGCAGCUAACGCAUUAAGCG
rnacentral:rRNA from 1 species